rnacentral:rRNA from 1 species
UACGUAGGUGGCAAGCGUUGUCCGGAUUUACUGGGCGUAAAGAGCGCGCAGGCGGUCGUUCAAGUCGCGUGUGAAAGCCCCCGGCUCAACUGGGGAGGGUCACGCGAUACUGAUCGACUCGAAGGCAGGAGAGGGUAGUGGAAUUCCCGGUGUAGUGGUGAAAUGCGUAGAUAUCGGGAGGAACACCAGUGGCGAAGGCGGGUCUCUGGACAGUUCCUGACGCUGAGGCACGAAGGCCAGGGGAGCAAACGGG